rnacentral:rRNA from 1 species
AUACGGAGGGUGCAAGCGUUACUCGGAAUCACUGGGCGUAAAGCGCGCGCAGGCGGGCUGAUAAGUUGGAUGUGAAAGCCUACGGCUCAACCGUAGAACUGCAUCCAAAACUGUCAGUCUAGAGUCUGGGAGGGGAAGAUGGAAUUAGUUGCGUAGGGGUAAAAUCCGUAGAGAUAACUAGGAAUACCAAAAGCGAAGGCGAUCUUCUGGAACAGUACUGACGCUGAGGCGCGAAAGCGUGGGGAGCAAACAGGAUUAGAAACCCCAGUAGUCC